rnacentral:rRNA from 1 species
AUAUGAACUCAAAUCCGGCAAGAGUACCCGCUGAAUUUAAGCAUAUUAAUAAGCGGAGGAAAAGAAACUAACAAGGAUUCCCCUAGUAACGGCGAGUGAAGCGGGAACAGCUCAAGCUUGAAAUCUACAUUUUGUAAAAAGAAUGUCGAGUUGUAGCUUUUGGAGGCACUAUUGAGUGACUAAUCAUGGUAAAAGUCCUUUUGAAUAAGGCAUCAAAGAGGGUGAAAAUCCCGUAUUUGACCAUGAAUUGCAAAUUAGUUACGAUAUCAAGUGUUUUCUUUGAGUCGGGUUGUUUGGGAAUGCAGCCCUAAUUGGGAGGUAAAUUUCUUCCAAAGCUAAAUAUCAGCAAGAGACCGAUAGCAUACAAGUACCGUGAGGGAAAGAUGAAAAGCACUUUGAAAAGAGAGUGAAAAGUACGUGAAAUUGUUGAAAGGGAACCGGUUGGUGGCCAAGCUUUUUUUUUUUCUUUAAGCUUUAUCUUGUUAUUUCCCAGCAAUGGGGGGUAAAUUUAGGGUAUUGUUCAAGUUAAAAAAGGGUCAACAUCGGUUGUUUAUGACUAGAAGAGAUUCUGCUGUCAGUCGAAGGGGGGACAAGGUAGAUAGUCUAAGGUAAUUUUAGAUUAUUGUUAUAGACCUCCCAAUAGAUUGACUAUCCUAAAGCUCAAGUAUAGUCGUGGCGACCGAGGAAACGCAGUGUGUUUUUAUUUUAUCUUUCUUGCGAGAGAUAGUAGCGGGUGAAUUUUAGGAAUGUAUUUAGUAGGAUUAAUUUGGAACUAGACAGGUUUGCUGACUAGUUCUGUUGUUCUAUAUACAAGUCUCUAUAAUUUGACCAAAAAACACUUUGGAUGUUGGCGAAAAGGCAUCAAUCGACCCGUCUUGAAACACGGACCAAGGAGUCCAACAUGCAUGCGAGUAUUUGGGAAAAUAUAAACCCAUGUGCGCAAUGAAAGUGAAUACUUAUACAAAGAAUGUGACCUGUCAAUUAAAAUUUUUUUUUUUUUUGAGGGGGCAACAUCAACCGACUUUAGAUAGCGCUGCUUGAAAAGGUUGAGUAAGAGCAUGUAUGCUGGGACCCGAAAGAUGGUGAACUAUGCCUGAAUAGGGUGAAGUCAGAGGAAACUCUGAUGGAAGCUCGUAGAGAUUCUGACGUGCAAAUCGAUCUCAAAAUUUGGGUAUAGGGGC